CUCACUGGCCUCUAUUCCUACGUCCUUCAUUGUGUGGCUGGCAAGACCUAGAACCUAGAAUCUCUUUGGGUUCCAGUAUUCUCUUUGCGAAAUGGGGAUGAUAACAUCCAAAGUCCCGCCAGCCUCACUGAGAGCCUGGGAAGAUCAAAACACACUGAAUCACAGUCUACCCCGUUCGAGCUGGUAGUUAGCGCAUGUCUGUGACGAUCAGGUGCCACGCUAAGUGGCUUACGUGCACUAUCUCGUCUGACCAUCAUAAGGGCAUUAGAGCAACCAGUCAAUCACGGUUUGCCGAGGACUGAUAGGAUUUUAACCCCGAAACGCCCAAGUCGCUGGAACCCCUUCAGUGCUAAGCACACCAGUUCCACGAGGUGGCAUCCCAGGAGUCGACGUUUUAUGCUGAGCGGCUGUGUCCUCUAAAGCUCCAAACGAUUGGACCCGAAUGGACACCUGACCCAGAAGCAGCCAAUCCAUUGGCUGGACAGCAACGAACGACCUAUGUGGUUCUUGGGUGUGUAGCCUGUGUGCCUGGGAAAAAGGAAGCCAAACCAGUAAUCCCAAAGUCAGACGGUGGAUCUUUUUCUUAUGUUGACAAGGAGGGAAGGGAAGGAAAGGCCCUGAAAACACCGGGUUCUUCCUGCGUUUAACUUCACCCUGGGGAUGGAUAUGGCUUCUUCCUGAUUCAGGCUGACCUUUACCAUACAUCACUGCAAAGAAAUCCCCGAGGGGUUGGUUAUCACGGUGAGCUGCUAGUCAUCUGAAAGGCGAGGUCACUGCCUCUUUGUAAGGUCUGCUCACACUGUGAAAAGGGCCAUUGGAGGCAUGACAAGGAGGCUCGCCCAGGCCGUUCCACUCCGCCGACUUCCAGAUCUGGGCCGAGUCGAUUGCUUUUCAUUUCCCAGUACCUGAGAUCCUGCCAUCACAUCGGCCUCCUUGACACUGGCCCCGGGUUUCCAGACUAGGACAUGGCUCCAGCUCACCCAGUUCACGCGCCAGUAAUUGGGGCCAGCAACAACAUACAGAACCAAAGUCAAGGUGAAAUGUGAACACAAGCAACGAGAAGAGCUGGGUGGAAAGAGCCAGGGAAUGGAGACAUCCUAGCAGGCUUCCCUUCCUCCCCAGUGUACUUGGUGCACCUGUUUCCCCCCAGUGCUACCCUGUUCUGUAAGAUGUAACUCCAUUCAUCCUCCCGGCCUUUCCCUAAGGAGGAAGCCUCCUGAAGCAUGCAGACCAAGGGGCCAACAAGGCGGCAUGGUGCAGAAAGAAAGCCAGGAGUCAGACUUCUUGAUUUCACACAUGACCCUGGGGCUUCUGACGUCCUCAUCUGCAAAAUGGGGACAACAUUCGCACUUAAGUCAGAAGGUUCCUGAGAGGAUUCCGUAAAUUACUCCUCAUAAAGCCUUAGAAGAGUACCUAGCAGGAAGUAAGCACCAUAUGAAUGUUAGCCAAAGGGAAAAGAAGUAUUUGUGUUACAGAAGUCUCCAAAUCUUAAAACAAGAGACUGAAUUCUAAUGCAUCAAGUUUCAAGAAACAGUAAACUAAAUGAAAGGUUUGGAAGCUAGAGAGGACUAUUGUGUUUCCCUAAAAUCACAACACACAGGUUGGCAUCCCCAACACACACACACACACACACACACACACACACAUACACACAUACACACACACACGGCAGUAUUCCAGGGACUGAUUUUGGAGCUCAGAUUUCGGAUUUUAACCUAGCUGUAUUACUUUAUAUCAAAACUUCAGUUUCCACAGAGAUAUUCAGUAUAUAUUUUUUUAUUUUGAAUGUAACAAACCAAUUAAAGAAUGUUUCACAGUAGGCCCCUUUUGGGCUCCCAACCAAAGACCGCGUAUGAUCUCCGAGACCUUUUAGUUUCUGUUAUAGAUACAACUUGUAACCAUGAGGUGACCUAAUUUUAAAUUUCUCUCUGCCACCAGAACCUGAAAUGUAUCUUCUCCAGCAGGUAAACUCAGUCAACUCAUACAAUCUAACAUGUUUUAGAAUAUCCUUCUCUACGGGUAAGAGGAUAAUGGGUGAGGGAGAUGCCUUCAAAUAAUAAAAAGCUCAUGACUCCCAGCCACUUUAUUGUCAGAUGUCUGGACACAGGACGGAUACAGCAACUGUUGGGGUCUCUGGUGCCAUGAUUCUAGAUUUCAGGGACACUUGGGAAACAUAUCAUCGUCCUCAAAAGCAAGUCACGCUAUACUGCAAGACUGCAAGACUCAGGCAGUUUAUUGGAGAUUUAGCCCCAUGAAAAGUGAUUUUUUUGUAGGACUUGGCUCUAACGUACCCAGUGGGUGAAAACUGUCUCUUGAAAUGAAGUUGAUGUAAAUGCCAAAGUCAUAGUGGAGGCACCUCAAUGACCUUGUUCUUCUAAUAUCUAAAUACUAAUGUGUGGAAAACUACAGACUGAUAAUUUGGAAGGAGAGAGCUCUUACUUGAGGAAAUAAUAAUGAGAAAGAUGAGAGAGGCAGCAAAGAUUGAGGACACAUUUUAAGGCUCACUGUUAUUAGAAAUAUGACUUUUCUCAAAUAUUAAAAAUAAACCUUUAAUUCCCCUCA